CACCAGAAAUCAGUUAGUCCUACUUUCAUUUUAUGAUGGUAGGGUGUUAAAACUGGUGCACAAAGAAAGUACUGCUCUUGAAGCAGUGGCGGCCAGACAACCGUUGAGAUAGAUCCACAGAUGAACAACCUUUCUGUUGCUUGUCUACUAAUUCUAUCUCACAUUA
rnacentral:snoRNA from 17 species